AAAUGCGAUAAGUAAUGUGAAUUGCAGAAUUCAGUGAAUCAUCGAAUCUUUGAACGCACAUUGCGCCCUUUGGUAUUCCGAGGGGCAUGCCUGUUCGAGCGUCAUUACACCACUCAAGCACCGCUUGGUAUUGGGCGGCGGCCGGUUUGACCACCCUUUCGCGGGGUUGGGCUCGGCCCCCCUGAAAUGGAUAUUUGGCGGCGCCUUCCCGGCUGCAAGCGUAGUAGAACUUUUACGUCUCGCUUCAGUGGCUCGGGCUGGCGCUCGCCUGACGAAAAACCUUUUUUUUCCAUCUAGGUUGACCCCGGAUCAGGUAGGGAUACCCGCUGAACUUAAGC
rnacentral:misc_RNA from 1 species